rnacentral:piRNA from 1 species
UAUGAACUUCGUAAGAAAAUA